rnacentral:ncRNA from 2 species
GUAGAGGAGAUGGCGCAGGGG